GACGAACGCUGGCGGCGUGCCUAAUACAUGCAAGUCGAACGCAUUUUCUUUCACCGUAGCUUGCUACACCGAAAGAAAAUGAGUGGCGAACGGGUGAGUAACACGUGGGUAACCUGCCCAUCAGCGGGGGAUAACACUUGGAAACAGGUGCUAAUACCGCAUAAUUCCAUUUACUGCAUGGUAGAUGGAUGAAAGGCGCUUUUGCGUCACUGAUGGAUGGACCCGCGGUGCAUUAGCUAGUUGGUGGGGUAACGGCCUACCAAGGCUGCGAUGCAUAGCCGACCUGAGAGGGUGAUCGGCCACACUGGGACUGAGACACGGCCCAGACUCCUACGGGAGGCAGCAGUAGGGAAUCUUCGGCAAUGGACGCAAGUCUGACCGAGCAACGCCGCGUGAGUGAAGAAGGUUUUCGGAUCGUAAAACUCUGUUGUUAGAAAAGAACAAGGAUGAGAGUGGAAAGUUCAUCCCUUGACGGUAUCUAACCGGAAAGCCCCGGCUAACUACGUG
rnacentral:rRNA from 1 species